AGGAAAAACUGCCCAGAAACCGUAACAACAUAAUGUAGUAAGACCAUUGUAAGUCAGUUUCUACAGCCAUGUUAUAGUCUGUUAGCACCCUCUAAUGGUAGAAAGUUGGCACAGCAGCCAGUCUGUCUGUUAAGUCAAGGCAGUCGACAAGUGACCAGUACACUAUACUGUAUGUGUAAGUUGACUACAAGAGAGGGAGUAACGUGCUUGAGAAAGGAGUUGCAGCCAAAAUCGGUGAUCUUCACCACCAUGCGGUUGUCCACCACACAGUUGGUAGACUUGAGGCGUCCAUGCACCUGGAUGUCACUAGCAUGCAGAAGUGGAUGAAAAAGUGGGAAACUUUGAGCGCGGGCGGCAGUAGGCGCUGCAGGUUGACCGUGUAAUCGCAGGAGGUGCCGAAGCUGCCUGCUGAGAUGAUGGGCGUGCUCAGUUUGAGACCCUUCUCAGCACUGCCAGAAGGGAGCGAGAGGACACAGGAGUAUGAAACCUGCUGCAGUGCAUUUGUGGAGGGAUGUCUGAAGACGCAAAGAGAGAUUUCAAAUGUGCCUACACUUACUCAACCAUGUGGAAAGCAGCUAAUGUGCA